rnacentral:rRNA from 1 species
AUUGAACGCUGGCGGCAGGCCUAACACAUGCAAGUCGAGCGGAGCGGCGGACGGGUGAGUAAUGCCUCGGAAUCUGCCUGGUAGUGGGGGAUAACGUCCGGAAACGGGCGCUAAUACCGCAUACUAUCAGAUGAGCCUAGGUCGGAUUAGCUAGUUGGUGGGGUAAAGGCUUACCAAGGCGACGAUCCGUAACUGGUCUGAGAGGAUGAGCAGUCAAACUGGAACUGAGACACGGUCCAGACUCCUACGGGAGGCAUCAGUGGGGAAUAUUGGAAAAUGGGCGAAAGGCUGAGCCAGCCAUGCCGCGGGUGGGAAGAAGGUCUUAGGAUUGGAAAGCACUUUAAGUUGGGAGGCGUGACCAACAGAAUAAGCACCGGCUAACUUCGUGCCAGCAGCCGCGGUAAUAC